GCCGAGGUGGUGAAAUUGGUAGACACGCUAGCUUGAGGGGCUAGUGCAGAAUUUUCUGCGUGCAGGUUCAAGUCCUGUCUUCGGCACCA
rnacentral:tRNA from 1 species